ACGAACGCUGGCGGCAGGCCUAACACAUGCAAGUCGAACGCUCCGCAAGGGGAGUGGCGCACGGGAGAGUAACGCGUGGGAACCUACCUAUUGGUUCGGAACAACACCGGGAAACUGGUGCUAAUACCGAAUAAGCCCGAGAGGGGAAAGAUUUAUCGCCAAUAGAUGGGCCCGCGUUAGAUUAGCUAGUUGGUGAGGUAAUGGCUCACCAAGGCGACGAUCUAUAGCUGGUCUGAGAGGAUGACCAGCCUCACUGGGACUGAGACACGGCCCAGACUCCUACGGGAGGCAGCAGUGGGGAAUAUUGGACAAUGGGGGCAACCCUGAUCCAGCCAUGCCGCGUGAAUGAUGAAGGCCUCCGGGUUGUAAAGUUCUUUUGGCGGGGACGAUGAUGACGGUACCCGCAGAAUAAGCUCCGGCUAACUUCGU
rnacentral:rRNA from 1 species